UUCUCCCGGAACACUCGCAGCUCAUGAAGUCAAGGGGAAUGAUGGAAGAAAGGUGCGAUCAUUAUAAAUGAAACAUUCUUACAGAAAAGUCAAAGGAUUCUGAGACAUCAAGCCAACACUGUGACAGAGAAUUUGACUAACUAACAAACAGAGGGAGUCAAGAUCUUGGCACAGUUUCUGGGAGAACUGAGUACAGAAAACUAAGAAUUCAGGCCAUGUUUACUCUUUGUAUCUGUACCUGUCCUGCUACAUGGACCCCACUGGGCUCUCAAUAAAUACAUUCUUAAUGAAUGAAUAAUAAAAAAAAACUGAAAACUUCAUAUGGUUGCCUGCCUUCGUGUCUCCAGACAAAGGAAGACAUCAGAAUCACAUCUCUCUUCAGGACCCAGAUAUGAGUCCAUGAAGGCUGGACUGGGGGAAACUACCUAGCAAAAACUAUGCUCUCCUCAGAAUUAACCUUCUUCCCUGAGAAUGAGACUUAUUUAGUUCUCAAGCUGCCUUAAAUAUCAUAGAAGAAAUUUCAGGUUGAAGUUGAUGCUUUUAUUCAGCUUCUUUGAACAUGUCAACAUGGAAAUUGUCCUUGAACACACAGCUCCACAUGCUCACGGGCUGAGGAAGAUGCUGAGAAAUGGAUUCUAUAUGAUAUGCAUCUGCAUAGGAAAACCAUCACUAUAAUUAGCUGGAUGAUGCUCAAUAAAUAUUAAUCCAUUGAAGGAAGGGAAGAAGGAAGAAAAGAAGGAAGGAAGGAAAGAUGAAAUGAGACUUAAUGUGCACCUGACUCACUGAGGAGGACAGCUGUCUUCAAAGAAGGCCUUCAGGUGACCUGCAGGAAGCCCCUGGUGAAAAUGGAAUGAAAGAGGACAAGGCAUAUGUGGAGCUAAGUGAAAUAGCAGAGUAACCUACGAGUCCUGGAUAGAUAAGGUCUGAGAUCCCUUUGAGUUACCACAAAAGACUGUGUUCAAAUUUCAACUUGUAAUGUUUAAGAGGAUACAGGGACAGUGAGAGAAGAGAAACAAUUCACUUCACCAUCAACAGAGCUAAACUGCUUCUUAGGACUAUUUCCUGAUAUCAUGUAGUACCUGACAAAUUUGAAAUAAGACAAAACAUUAAGGAGAAAGGGAAAGUGAAAAAAAUCCUCCACUAAAUAAAAUGUAAAUGUGAGAAGGG